CAGCUUCAUCUCGAUCCGAAGACGGUAGAGUAGAGCAGCUAGCCUUUUUUUCUUCAAAAUUUUCCAGGAUAAUCUUCAAAUUUUCUUUCUGGUUAGAUUGAAAAGCCUAACAUUGCAAUUCUUUGAUCUAGUAUUAAUUCUAUGAUGCAUAGAUCAAGAAAUCUAUCCUUAGGCGAUAGUAACGGCAAAGUUCAUACAUCCAAUUCUGUAAAUCAGAUGAUAUAUGGGCAGAACAGGUAGUUGAACCAGCCAUGAAAAUGGUCAGAUCUUUCCUUAGUCAGGAGGCUGCUAGUUCGGUGCCGCUGGAACAAGAAUACUUGGAAGGGAACUGUGGACUCGGUAUGUAUGCAAGCUCUAUCGAAAACAAAUGUCAAAACUGCGAAAAUCGCAAGCCUGUUUUGUAGCCGAACAGCAGCGCGCCAGAUUGGAGAUGAACUUUCAGUGUAUGAUUAUCUUAGUUGUCCUCAAGAAGGUGAGAACUAGUAAAGAAAUUAAAAAUAACAAGAGAUUAAUUAUUUGAUUUAAAAGGGUUAUGGAUUAUUUUACAAGUGAAUGAUAAUCAUUAAACUCAUCAAAAUAUGGACUCGAUUGUCACACGUAACAUUUUUUAUUUUUCAUAAUAAUACAAUUUUUAUUAUUAUCAAAGUUACAAAUUUAAGAAAUAAUAAUAAAAAAAUAACGUUAAAAACAUGAUUUGUGUUAUUAAUGAGAUUAAAGAGAGAAAAAUUUAAGUAGUCAAGUAUUGAAUUCAAAUAUCAUAUAAUUUUAAUUAUGAAUUUUUAUGAAAUUUAGAAAGUUUUAUUAAAGAGUUUAUUUGAAAAUAAUUUUAAUAUUUUGGGUCCAAAGAGAAUUAAAAAAAAUGCUUCGGCCUUAUUUUUUUUUGUAGCAUCUAUCUCUCAUCAAAAAAAUUCUUUUCUUUCUCUCCUUUUACUCUUUCUCUCUUUUUCUUCUUUGUGUAUUAUUGUUGUCGACGAUGAACGACUAAUUUUCGGUCGUCAUAUAUAGAUACACGCUUUACCAAAAUGCGCAGAAUCUUUCGAACUAUUAAUUACGUGGGAAUCUAGAUUCACUAGCCGGUUAAGCACAUCAACUGGUUGAUUUAAGUUCGGUCACUACGCGACUUAAAAAUUGCGAUCCGCCCACUUCGAGCAUUUGUUAGCUGAUCUGUCACCACUAUCGUGUUUCUUUUGUUGUGGGUUUCAAAACCCAAUAAAUUGUUCCCACAUCUACUAUAGUUGUAGCGGGCCCACCACGAGCCACUAUGAUCCACCGUAGAUCGGGUAUAAAGCUGUGCAAUCCCACAUUGUCUGGGGAAGGUUAAGUGUGAUGAUUGAGAUUGUGUAGGUAUAGGACUACACAGUUGAAGAUGGUUUAAAUGGAUUGAUGAGUACUACCUAUAUCAACAAGAUGCAUCUUUUCGAUAGUCCAUCACUUGAGAACUCAAAAGUUAAACAUGCUUAACCUAAAGUAAUCUCAAGAUAGGUGACCUCCUGGGAAGUUUUCUCAGGAAGCGUGCGAGUGAAGACAAUGUAUGUUGGAAAGACUUGUGUUGGUUUGCAGGGUCAGUCGUUAUUCCAGGAAGUAGUCAUAGUGAUGUGGGACGUUACAAAUGGUAUUAUAGCCUUGACCAAGUCGGAAGUGUGGCCGACAGGGACGUCGGACCCUUAAAGGAGGGUGAUUGUGACAGUCAAUAUCCCGUGAUCUGUAGAGGGAAAGAUCGGGUAAGAGCUGUGCAAUCCCACACCGCUUGAGGAAGGUCAACUGUGAUGAUUCUAAGACUGUUGGUAUGAGACUACAUAGUUGAAGAUAACUUAAAUGGAUUGAUGAGUACUACCUAUACCAACAAGAUACAUCUUCUUUUCAGUAUCCCAUCACUUGAGAACUCGAAAGUUAAGCUUGCUUGACUUGGAGUAAUCUCAUGAUGGGUGACCUCUUGGGAAGUUUUCCCAAGAAGCGUGCGAGUGAGAACAGAGCAUGCUGGGAAGACUAGUGUUGGUUUGUAGGGCCAGUUGUCAUUCCAAGAAGCAGUCAUAGUGACGUGAGUUGUUACAAAUGGUAUCAAAGCCUAAACUCAGUCGGAAAUGUGGCCGACGGGGACGUCGGACCCCUAAAUGUGGGUGAUUGUAACAGUCAGAAUCCCGUGAUCCACAGAUGGAAAGAUUGGGUAAAAAGUUGUGCAAUCCCACAUCGCUUUGGAAAUGUUAAGUGUGAUGAUUCUGAGACUGCAUAGGUAUGAGGUUACAAAGUUGAAGAUGACUUAAAUUGAUUGAUGAAUAUUACCUAUAUCAACAAGAUGUAUAUUCUUUUCGGUAGUCCAUCACUUAAGAACUCCAAAGCUAAACUUGCUUGAUCUGGAGUAGUCUCAAAAUGGGUGACCUCCUGGGAAAUUUUUCUAGGAAGCGUGCGGGUAAGGACAAAACACGCUGGAAAGACUUCUGUUGGUUUGCAGGGUCAUUCGUCUUUCCAGAAAGUAGCCAUAGUGAAGUGAGGCGUUACAUGAAACUCCGAUCAUUAUGGUAUAAUUUCUUUGACCUAUAUAUUGUAAUUUAAUUGUGAUUAAUUAGAGUAAUUAUUAUUAUGUGUAUUUAUAGUAUAUAUUUAUAUAUUCAUGAUAUACUUAAUAUUUUUCGUAAUUAUACUGGCUGUAUGUGAUUAUAUGUAUUUCUAAUAUAUAUUUUGAUUUUGGGAUUGCUCAUUUUAUAAUCGUUGUGUUGUCCAAUUUUAAAAAAAAUAUUAGACAUAAAAAUAAAUUAUAAAAAAUAAUUGUUCAUAAUAAUUGUUCAUAUUAAUAGAAAAUUAAUUAAAUAUAUCUUUUUAUAAUUUUUUUAAUGUAAUAUUUUUUAGAAAAUUGGACAACACAACGGCUAUAAAAUUGACAAUUCUAAAAUCAAAAGUUGUAUCAGAAAUACAUAUAAUCCCAAACAGCCAGUAUAAUUACAGAAAAAUAUUCAGUAUAUAAAAAAUAUAUAAAUAUGUACUAUUGGUACACAAAAUAGCAAUUAUUUUAAUCAAUCACAAUAUAUAGAUCAAAAAGAUUAUACUACAAUAAUCAGGGUUUCAAAAUGAGUUAAAUGAUGAUUUCUGGAGCUCAAAACGAACUCUGGAACCUCGAAACUAAGUUUUAACUGUCGGUAUAUGGUGGCUCGUGGUGGGUCUGCCACCCAACUAUAGUAGAUGUGAGAAAAAUUUAUUGAGUUUUGAAGCCCACAUCACGAGGAACACGAUGAUGGUGACGAAGCAACUAACAAAUAUUCGAGGUGGCCGGAUCGCGACUUUGAAGUCGCUCGGUGGCUUAACUUAAAUCGAUCGGUUGAUGUGCUUAAUUGGCGUGUGAGUUCUGGAUUCCCGCGUGGUCGAUAGUUUGGAUGAUUUUGUGCAUUUUGGUCAGACGCGUGUCUAUAUAUGGUGGUCGGAAAGUGGUCGUUCGUCGUUGGCAACAGUAGCACAUAAAGAGGAGAGAGAGAUGAAGUGAAGGAGAAAAAAAGAAAAUAAUUUUUUUGAGGAGAGAGAGAAGCUAUGGGAAAAUAAGGCUGAAACUUUUUUUUAAUUACCUUUGAACCCAAAAUAUUAAAGUUAUUUUCAAAUAAGCCCUUUAACAAAACUUUCUUAAUUUCAUAAAAAAUUCUCAAUUAAAAUUAUAUGGCAUUUGAGUCCAAUACUUGACUACUUAAGUUUCUCUCUCCAUUUAAUCUCGUUAAUAACAUAAAAUCAUGCUUUAAACACUAUUUUUCAAUUACUAUUUCUUAAAUUUGUAAACUUGUACAUUUUAUGUAUUGAAACUCUGAUAAUAAUAAAAACUGUACUAUGAACAAUGUUGGGUGUUACAAUCCUUCACCAUUUAAAAUAAUUUCGUCAUAAAUAAUUUGAUAGUUGUAGAAGAAAACUACGAUUACUAAUAUGCAGGACAAUAUCACACUGCACAAGGUUUUAUACACAAUACUUACUUUCACCCCAUAAAACGAAAUUCAUUUUUGGUUUGUAAUCCUUAUCAUAUACAAAAAUACAAGGAUGUAUAAACACCUCACAUGUGAAUUACAAUAUGAAAAGAAGCGCCCCAUAGUUGAGUCGUAAGAUCGAACUUUGCGUCCACCCUUAAGGGUCCGACGUCUUUGUCGGUUACAUUUCUGGCUGGGUAAAGGCUCUGAUACCAUUUGUAAUGCCCCACGUCACUAUGGCUGCUUCCUGGAAUGACAGCUGUGAGGUGUUUAUAUAUCUUUGUUUAUAUGACUAAAGAUGUUUUGAGUUAUAUGAAAUGUAACACAAUGCCUUUAUUGAAUACCAUAAAACAUCAAUCAUAAACA